rnacentral:lncRNA from 1 species
GAGAGUUCUGCCGCCCAUCAGCGCCCUUUUCAACCCUAAGCAUUCUUUGCGUCAAUCCCCGCCAUCUCCGCCGGCUCCCCGCCUACGUCGGGCCAAUCUAGGUUGGUCCCGAAACUUCUCUUGUCAUUGCUGUUGUUCCUUCCUCUUCUUGCUUUGUUUGUUCAGCUUCUGAGGGUUUAUUCGCAAUCUUUCCCGAUCUUUCGGGAUUUCCUUCUUUCUUUUCUCUUGUUGCAGGCACGGACGUAGGAGUUGCCCGGGCAGCCCUCACCGUCGACGUCCCUUACGAUGCCGAGCCUUCAGUCCUCCGAGCCCUUUCGAGGAGUUCUCCCAUCGGGGCUUCUGCCCCGGAGGUCCGUCUCGAGGGGAUGCUGAGGAUCGAGAGGAGGAGGAGAAGAGAAAUAGUGGCCCGCAAGUUCAGCGGCCGUCGAGCUGCCACUGAAGGCUUCCACAGCUUUGAAGGGGACUCGAGGGAGAAUUUCUUUAACAACAGGGAUUUAAUAAUGGAACUGGCCGGUGAGUGCAUCCCGUCCGAGAAUUUUGUAGUUGAAUGGGGCGACACCGGUCAAGGGGGUAGAGUUGCCGUCAUAAGCUGUGGCGGGCUUCUUGAUGUCGUCGGGGUCGAGGGACCAGAGGCGGUCGGUGCUGACGGCGAAACAGUAGAACUUGUUGUGGGGGU